UGUGAUGUGAGGAUGAUGCAAUGCUUUCAAA
rnacentral:piRNA from 1 species